GAUGAACGCUGGCGGCGUGCCUAAUACAUGCAAGUCGAGCGAACAGACGAGGAGCUUGCUCCUCUGACGUUAGCGGCGGACGGGUGAGUAACACGUGGAUAACCUACCUAUCAGACUGGGAUAACUUCGGGAAACCGGCGCUAAUCCCGUAUAAUAUAUUGAACCGCAUGGUUCAAUAGUGAAAGACGGUUUUGCUGUCACUUAUAGAUGGAUCCGCGCCGCAUUAGCUAGUUGGUAAGGUAACGGCUUACCAAGGCGACGAUGCGUAGCCGACCUGAGAGGGUGAUCGGCCACACUGGAACUGAGACACGGUCCAGACUCCUACGGGAGGCAGCAGUAGGGAAUCUGCCGCAAUGGGCGAAAGCCUGACGGAGCAACGCCGCGUGAGUGAUGAAGGUCUUCGGAUCGUAAAACUCGGUUAUGAGGGAAGAACAAAUGUGUAAGUAACUAUGCCCGUCUUGACGGUACCUAAUCAGAAAGCAACGGCUAACUACGUG
rnacentral:rRNA from 1 species